rnacentral:pre_miRNA from 1 species
GUAGUAUUCCCUCCGUCCCAAAAUUCCUGUCUUACAUUUGUUUAGAUACGGAUGUAUCUAACACUAAAAUGUAACUAGAUACAUCCGUAUUUAGACAAAUUUAAGACAAGAAUUUUGGGACGGAGGGAGUACAAA